GCUUCUGUAGUCUCUCCUAACAGAUAUUUGCUCCAUUCUUACAGAUUCGUACCCCUACAGAGUUCAUUGCUCCAGUUCUCUGUGUGUUAACCAGGAAUACAAGUCCAUGUUUCAAAGGCAGAAAGCUCUAAAAUUUUCAAGAGCCUCUUGUCAGCUGGAAGACAUGGCUCAAAGGACACCAGAAAAAAAAUCAUCUCAGUGUUGCUACAGCUAAUGAAAUGAGCCUUAGUGAGCCACUGGCCUCUUAUCAAAACCUGAAAGGGCAGAAAACCUGACAGAUCUGACACAGUAAAGAAGAAAGAAAAAAAAAAAGGGAGAGAUGAUUCAGGAACCAACAAGUGAAGAAUAAAAAGAAUUAAGAAAAUUGAAUUCUGG